rnacentral:rRNA from 1 species
ACACUUACAGCAACGGAUCUCUUGGCUCCUAUAACGAUGAAGAACGCAGCGAAAUGCGAUACGUCUUGCGAAUUGCAUUACCAGCGAGUCAUCAAACCUUUGAACGCACCUUGCAGUUCCCUUGAGGAACUAUAUCUGAUGGAGUAUCUGUA